GAGUUUGAUCUUGGCUCAGGACGAACGCUGGCGGCGUGCCUAACACAUGCAAGUCGAGCGGAGACAGUGAGUAGCUUGCUAUGAGCUGUUUUAGCGGCGGACGGGUGAGUAACGCGUGAGCAACCUUUCCCAGACAGGGGAAUAACACACCGAAAGGUGUACUAAUACCGCAUAAGACCACGGGAUCACAUGGUUCUGGGGUAAAAGAUUUAUCGGUUUGGGUGGGCUCGCGUCCGAUUAGGUAGUUGGUGAGGUAACGGCCCACCAAGCCGACGAUCGGUAGCCGACCUGAGAGGGUGAUCGGCCACAUUGGGACUGAGACACGGCCCAAACUCCUACGGGAGGCAGCAGUGGGGAAUAUUGGGCAAUGGGGGAACCCUGACCCAGCAACGCCGCGUGGAGGAAGAAGGUUUCGGAUCGUAAACUCCUGUCCUUGGGACGAGUAGAAGACGGUAUCCAAGGAGGAAGCCCCGGCUAACUACGUGCCAGCCGCCGCCGUAAC
rnacentral:rRNA from 1 species